rnacentral:rRNA from 1 species
GACGAACGCUGGCGGCGUGCCUAAUACAUGCAAGUCGAACGCUUUUUCUUUCACCGGAGCUUGCUCCACCGAAAGAAAAAGAGUGGCGAACGGGUGAGUAACACGUGGGUAACCUGCCCAUCAGAAGGGGAUAACACUUGGAAACAGGUGCUAAUACCGUAUAACACUAUUUUCCGCAUGGGAGAAAGUUGAAAGGCGCUUUUGCGUCACUGAUGGAUGGACACGCGGUGCAUUAGCUAGUUGGUGAGGUAACGGCUCACCAAGGCAACGAUGCAUAGCCGACCUGAGAGGGUGAUCGGCCACACUGGAGCUGAGACACGGCCCAGACUCCUACGGGAGGCAGCAGUAGGGAAUCUUCGGCAAUGGACGAAAGUCUGACCGAGCAACGCCGCGUGAGUGAAGAAGGUUUUCGGAUCGUAAAACUCUGUUGUUAGAGAAGAACAAGGAUGAGAGUAAAAUGUUCAUCCCUUGACGGUAUCUAACCAGAAAGCCACGGCUAACUACGUGCCAGCAGCCGCAGUAA